UACGUAGGUCCCGAGCGUUGUCCGGAUUUAUUGGGCGUAAAGCGAGCGCAGGUGGUUUAUUAAGUCUGGUGUAAAAGGCAGUGGCUCAACCAUUGUAUGCAUUGGAAACUGGUAGACUUGGGUGCAGGAGAGGAGAGUGGAAUUCCAUGCGUAGCGAUGAAAUGCGUAGAUAUAUGGAGGAACACCGGUGGCGAAAGCGGCUCUCUGGCCUGUAACUGACACUGAGGCUCGAAAGCGUGGGGAGCAAACAGG
rnacentral:rRNA from 1 species